AAGUUUUGCUUUAUUUCAGUUAACAUUGAAGGAUAUAAAGUCUUAUAGUUGUAGCAACUACAAGACCAAAAACGAGCUGGGUGGGCAGGAUGAACUUACUCGAUUAAACUUACAAGAACUAACUGUGGUCAUCUAUUAUUAAUGGCUACUGUAUAUUAAAAAUGGAUGGCACUGAGGGCAAGCUAAUAUUUCUAAGGAGUUUAAUACAAUCUGGAAAUGAUGACUGUUCUUGCUGAAGAUUGACACAAUUCCCAGAAAAUAUCAAGAACACAAACCAGCAGGAUAAUCUGCAUUUUCCGUGACUCACAGGAGCAUCCUCUUAAAAAAAAAAAAAGGCGUUUAAAUGCAAAGAUCUAGGCUGGCUUUAAUCACUCUACAGCCUGACGCCAACCAACAUCUCUCACCUCUGAAAAUGCAUAAGAAGAAUAUGCACCUUGUUAAAAUUCAUCCAUGUGUUUCAAACCUAGGCUGGACCGGGGAGUUCUCUGCUCUUAGAAUGAGCAUCACUAAAAGCACACAUUCCUUUUCAAAGCAACUGUCUCUUGCAUGUUUAUUUCUUAACCAUCUUUUCCUGAUGCUACUGUUGGUCAUAACAGGAGACCAACAGCCACCUGGCAGUGAGGUCCGACACUGAGGAGACCUGGGACAUGGCCCAGGGCAAACGGUACAAAGAGUUUCUCUUACUGAGACAGCCCAGCCAUAUGGCCAGUUUGGCCCAGAGUCAAAAAAAUCAAAGUUGUAAAACCAUCACUAUGAUGUGGGAGAUGUGUGGGCAGCUGGGGCUAACAUGCCUGCAUUGUCACUCUGAGAACUGGGCCAGCCAGAUGGCACGGAGGGACCCAGACAGGAAUUCCGCAGCAGGAGGAUAAACUCCGGGGUCCGUGCGACUUUCGCAGAUCCUGCCCUGCAUCCUCUCUCCGUGCCAAGCUGGAGUGUUGAUCUUCUUUCAUGUCAUGCGCUUUGCGCAUCUCCGUGUCUUUGAUGGUGCUGGUUCCCCCGUCUGUCUGGAAUGAUCACCUGCUCCACUCUCAUCAAAGUCCCAGCUACCCCUGCUGUACUUUUGUGGCCAGCCCUCCAGCAUGCUCUGAAGUAUCUGGAGUGCCACCAAGCCCCAGCUGCCCACCCCCAAUUUUGCCUUCAUGCCUCUACAUGGCUGUUUUUCUCUCUCUUCUUAGUCUCCCAGUCUCUUCUUAAUCUUCCAUAGUUCUCCUCAUCAUCUCUUUCUGCAGUCUCCCUGGUCUCCCCUUACACUGUAGAAGAUCCUCUUUGAGUAACUUGGUACCUCACUCAUCAGGUCCCAACACACUCGUCCAGCACCGCAGACCUCCACAGAGAUCCCUUCCAUAUUCCUGGAAUACCUGCCCUUGAAGACUGAAACAAACAAAACAUAAAAUUUAAAACAAAACAGAAACCCACCUGCUUCAUCUAGACUAAUGGAUGAGGCAGGAUGGCCACAGGAGGCGGGUUGUUCCCGAAGGUCACUUAUGUAUGUCAAAGUGCCAUUUCCUCAUGUGUACGGAGUCCUUAGCAUGUCCCUUUUGCGGUGACAGUCACGUACAGGUAACUUAGGCAAGCAAGUUGAAUCCGAUGCUUCCGGCUUCUGUGUGAAAACUGAACUGCUAUGAGUUUGUAUUGACUUUUGGCAAAGACCCUUUUCAAUUGCUCUCUACCCACACUGGAGUACUGAAGUAAAAUUAAAUAAAAAAAUUCCAUUUAUCUGUGAUUUUGUAACAGAAAAGAUUCUUGCCUGGACCUGAAGGAUUUUUUUUUUUAAAGUAAACAGUACCAGGUGUUUAGACAGGGACGGUGGACUGCCAGGUUAGUUUCUUUACAGCCUGGUAUCCUGCUAGUAGCCGUCCCUCACCUUGUAGGCUUAAAUAUAGACUACACCCAGAAAGGGGCAAAUGACCUAGGCCAUGAAGCAAUUAACUAAGGAACUAUUAUUAUUCUUCCAUUCUCUACAAUAACCCUGGGAGUUCAGAACAUUCUCUCUCUCUCUUUCUCUCUCUCUCUCUCUCUUUCUCUCUCUCUCUCUCUCUCUCUCUCUCUCUCUCUCUCUCUCCCCACAUACAAGUACAUACAAACACAUAUUGACUUGUGAGUGUUUAUAUAGAGGCCAAAGGUCAACUUCCAGUGUCUUCCGCUUUCCAUCUUCAGCCUGCUGUUUUGAAACAGGGUCUCUGAGCUUGGAGUUCACUGAUUCAGCCAGAGGGAUGGGCAGGUAAGCUUCAAGGACCCCUUCUCCAUUCUCUGCGGUGCUGGGGUUACAGGUGAGAGCCACAAUACCUGGCCUUUCACAUAGGUGUCAGGGGUCCAAACUCAGCUAUUCAUGCUUGCCCAGCAGGGACUUUACCAACAGAGCUGUUUCUCCAGAUUCAUGCUUUCCUCAUUUUAAAGAUGUUGGAUAAAUUGAUAUUGCUGCAAGCUUGUCAUCCCAACACCCUGAAGGCUGGGAGCAGGAUCUGCACGAGCUCACAGCCAGCCUGAGAUAGAGAACCAGACCUUGUCUCAAAACAGCUAAGAAAGAAAGAUGUUGACAGUGCUUGUGGGGGGAGAGGCAACUAAAGUGAUUUACCAAAGCCAAAAGGAUGAGUAAGAAGCCGGGUCAAGAUUUGAACCCAGGGUUCCGUGAGUUUGGCUUAACCAUUAACUUCCAGGGUGACAAUGUCACUACCGUUUAAUUGUUUUACAACCUCAGGAAAGUGAUUUCCUCCCUGAACUAGUGUUUAUUGUGGAGGAAGAAAUAAAGACUCGACUCAUAAUAACGAUUUUGGGCCUGGCAUAGAUUCUGAGUCCUUAUAUUCAAGGUGACUUUGAUCUAUGGUCUACUAGAGCAUAUUCUUGACUUGAGGGAUGGACCACUGAUGUACACAUAUAAUGCAAUUUAAGAAGCCUUGGGAGAAGGGUAUAGCUGACCCUACCUUGUGAUCUCAGAGGGCUGUUACCAGGAAUAACUAAU
rnacentral:lncRNA from 1 species